rnacentral:misc_RNA from 1 species
GACAGAAGGCGCGGGCGUUAUUCAUCAUUAUUGGGCGUAAAGGGUAUGUAGGUGGCUUUGACAAUCCAAAACGAAAUACUGGGCGUAAAGCGUAGACGGUUUUUGGACAUUGCUAAGCUAGAGUUAUCUGGAGGAUUAGGGAAUUCCUGGUGGACGGGUAAAAUUGUGAGAUAUCGGGAGGACGACCAAAGGCGAAGGCACUUUUCCAUUUAUAACUGACACUGAGGUACGGAGGCGCGGGUAUCAAAUAGG